rnacentral:rRNA from 1 species
UACGUAGGGACCAAGCGUUGUUCGGAUUUACUGGGCGUAAAGGGCGCGUAGGCGGCAAUUCAAGUCAUCUGUGAAAUCUCCGGGCUUAACUCGGAAUGGUCAGGUGAUACUGCUUUGCUAGAGUGCAGAAGGGGCAAUCGGAAUUCUUGGUGUAGCGGUGAAAUGCGUAGAUAUCAAGAGGAACACCUGAGGUGAAGACGGGUUGCUGGGCUGACGCUGACGCUGAGGCGCGAAAGCUAGGGGAGCAAACGGG